GAUGAAGAACGUAGCGAAAUGCGAUAAGUAGUGUGACUUGCAGAAUUCAGUGAAUCAUCGAAUCUUUGAACGCACAUUGCGCCCCCUGGAAUUCCGGGGGGCAUGCCUGUUCGAGCGUCUCAGGGACGAACCCUCGCGCGGGUGUACGCGCGGUCGUGGCUGCGGUGGCGUGCCCGAGGCGGCGGCCACCGCGCUGGAAUCCAUGGGCGGACGCCUGCCGCGUGGCCGAGCGUGAUAUGACGCAUUGGCGCUCGCACGCGGAGAGGCUGCCAGCCCUGGCCCGUCUGUCGGGCGGGGGAGAGCAAGACACGUGAACUCCUCGAAUCAGGUAGGGAUACCCGCUGAACUUAAGCAUAUCAAUAAGCGGAGGA
rnacentral:misc_RNA from 1 species